rnacentral:rRNA from 1 species
CAGUCGCCGCGGGAAUACGUAGGGUGCAAGCGUUAAUCGGAAUUACUGGGCGUAAAGCGUGCGCAGGCGGUUAUAUAAGUCAGAUGUGAAAUCCCCGGGCUCAACCUGGGAACUGCAUUUGAGACUGUAUGGCUAGAGUGUAUCAGAGGGGGGUAGAACUCCACGUGUAGCAGUGAAAUGCGUAGAUAUGUGGAGGAAUACCGAUGGCGAAGGCAGCCCCCUGGGAUAACACUGACGCUCAUGCACGAAAGCGUGGGGAGCAAACAGGAUUAGAUACCCCUGUAGUCCCUGUCUCUUAUAC